GGACUGCCGCAACAUAUGUCUGUCCUCCUGUGACGCAGCUUGAUUUCGCCUUUGGUUUUCACCAUCUAAAGGAGGGUUUGUAGCGUGCAAUGAUUGAGCCUAAAGUGAGAGGUGAGGACGUCCCUCUGUGUGGGAAACAUGACAGCCAGACCACAGCUCAGAGAUUGAGUACAGACUUCCCUACAUCCUGGAGGACUCGUGUGAGUUCAAUGAGUCCACUCCUUAAUUUCAGAGGAAGGUCGGCUCGCAUAGUCCUUCAGGAGAGUCCAAGUGUUGUCUCGAUGCAGAAUGAUUCUUCACAAGGACAUUCUGCAAAUCGAUGAAGGACACCCCUCUCCUCCAGAGAAAGACAAGAUGAUCCAGGAGUCGAUCCAUGUCGACGGUUGGAUGGACUCUUUCCUGAAGCACGUGCUGGAAACAACUGGUGUGUUUACAAGGUCGUGUCUGCUGCUGAUGAAUGUUCUGAAAUGUUCUCUUUAAUGGUAUACUAUGCAGCAAAGUCAGUACCUCCCUGCCUUCUCAAAAGAGCCAAAGAGAGAGAGAGAAAGAGAGAGAGAGAGCAGUUCACAUCGAGCAAACUUUACAGUAAAAAAGAGAAAAUCCAGGUAAAGUGCAGGGUCCCUGCAGUUAGACACUGCCAGAAAUGAUUGACAGGGAUUAUUUUUUGUUUAGGUCUAUACAUUGUUUACUUUGUUUACUGUGUGGUUGUGUUACAUAUUAGACCUGUCAACAGAGAAUUUCUUUAGUUUUUUUUGCUUCCAUUUGAAGCACAUUUGCUGCUUUAAAGAAUCAGUACAGGACAUUCAGAACAUUAAUAUAACAGUUAACAGCUAUUUAUUAUGUAAAGAUAUAGUGGUGUAAUUUGUUGUCGAUGUGGUCUGAUUCUAUAUCACAUUCAAAAAUGUAUCAAUAUAUUUUUUGUAUCAAUUUAUCCCCCAGCCCUACUGGGAAUGAGAUUGAGCCUCGUGGGGGAAAUUCCUGGUCGGAGUCUGAACCAUUGAAAUGCUCGGGCAAAUUCACAAAAGGAUUGUAAGGCUUUUGCGGCCGCUAAACAUGUUCAAAUCAGGCAGAAACAAAUUCUCAAAGCAAGGGCAAUGGGUGAAUUGAGCCUCUAACUGCGUUGCCAAUUUAUUUCUAUUUGCAUGUAUUUAUAUGAGAUAAUAUGCAAACGUUGGUGCAAAAUGUACCCCUUUCGAUUCAAAUGAGCCUGAUUGCAACAAAAAAAAAAUUCACAAACUCCAGCGCUAACAGUCACAUGCAGUUAGAAAUUAUUAGCGUCUUCAGAGAGUUGCUGGUAAAUGACCCGCAUUUAUGAGGACAAAUUAAAGGUCGACUCAGACUCCUUUAUUUUGCGAUUCAGUGACAGGACGCACGUCUCAGCUCCCCUACAGGUUAUUUUUGAAAAUACAUGAAAAAUGAAUGUAAAAUAAUGUUAAUCAACAAAUAGAUGUCAGGCUCAUUCUGACCAAGGUUAUUAUAGUUAACGAAAACUAACGAAAUAAAGAAAACUAGAAUUGAAAAAACAUUUUCGUUAAUUGAAAUAAAAAUAAAAACUAGAGUUUUUAAAAAAACGAUAACUAACUGAAACUGUAUUGUGUGGUUACAAAACUAACUAAAACUAACUAAAAUUAUCGUGACAAUGUCCUUAGUUUUCGUUUUUGUCAACUUUUUUCAUACAUAAUUCAGUGUUUCUAUUUGAACAUGCAACACAUGGUAAAUAUGUUUACUGAGACUGGGAUGUUGACACUAGAACCAAAAUUCAAAACACCCAGAACUAUAAGAGUAAAUAACCUUAUUGGGGCUGAGAUGAUAAACCAAAGGAAAUAAAGGCAAAAUUUAUUAUGACCUCUUUGAAUCUCGUACCCAACACAUAGCCCAUUACAAAAAAACUAAAACAAACACUAAAACUAAUAAAAACUAAACUAAAACUAAGCAUUUUCAAAAACUAAAAACUAAACUAAAACUAGAAAACUCACUCUAAAAACUAACUAAAACUAACUAACUAACUAAUUUGAAAACAAAAAUUCACAACGAAAUUAAAACUAAAACGAAUGAAAAAUCCAAAACUAUUAUAACCUUGAUUCUGACUCUUGUGAUGUCACACAGCUGAUGCGCUCACAUACGCUCACUGUGUGAAAGUGGACUGUGUGAGUGUGCGUUAUCUUUUGGAUGUGUAGAGGAGCUCAGAACAUUAAUUAAUAUGAGGUCUUGUCUGAUCGUCUGGUCUGUCUUUGGAGAUUUAAAUAAUCAAUGGAGCUACACUGUUGUUUCUCUCUUAUCUCUGAAGACACACACAAAAAUAACACAGCCCAUGUGUAAAAAGGAGGCAAAACUGUGCUCAGCUUCAAAACUUUAUGGGUGUUUACACUGUGAUAUAAUAAGGGCAAUAUCCUUCUGAAUCUGAGGCAGAUAUCGGUUGCAAGUAAUGGAGGGAAUUCAUGGUGCUACCAGCGGCCGCAAUCCAUUCUUUGUGAAUUCUCCCCAUUGUAUGUUGUGUACUGCACCUUUAAAUGUUUCAGGAUCGCUGUUAAUAACAUCACCAAGUACUCACUAAGCCAGAGUUUUUUACCUGCACUUUCAGUGAAAAUGACUUCUAGGCCUUUAGUUGGGUUACACCCCUUCUAAUGAAAUGUUUUUUCUUUAUUUUUAAGAGUUAAUUUGUGGGAUUUCUUGCCUUCUUAAUGUGUUUGAGAGCAUCAAAGCAAAAGAUUAAAGGCUACUCUGAAGAAUCUAAAAUAUAAAACAUUCUGGUUUGUUUCACACUUUUUUGUUUGCUACACAAUUCCAUAUCAUCACUCCAUCAUAGUUAUGAUGUCUUCAAUAUUUAUCUACAAUGUAGACAAAAAUACUAAAAAUAAAGAAAAACCAUCAA